rnacentral:rRNA from 1 species
UACGUAGGGGGCAAGCGUUGUCCGGAAUCAUUGGGCGUAAAGAGCGUGUAGGCGGUUCGGUAAGUCGGCUGUGAAAGUCCAGGGCUCAACCCUGGGAUGCCGGUCGAUACUGCCGGACUAGAGUUCGGAAGAGGCGAGUGGAACUCCUGGUGUAGCGGUGGAAUGCGCAGAUAUCAGGAAGAACACCUAUGGCGAAGGCAGCACUCUGGGACGGUACUGACGCUGAGACGCGAAAGCGUGGGGAGCGAACAGG